GAGUCUCGGAAACAUGCAUCCAUUUCAGCCCCUGUCCACCAGGGGGUGCAGCUUCCUAACACAAACUCAUUUCCUGAGUGAAAUGUAGGCUUUGAUUUAUCAUUUCACUGUGACUCCAACAUUUCUUCAUGUUAAGAAUCAAGAACAUUGUUUAGACGAUUCUCUGGAGAUGAACUCUGCUCCAGGCUUAGUGACUGUGGUACUCUUAAUGCUUCGACAAACCUAUGGAGACUCAGUGACCCAGAUGGAAGGCCAAGUGACCCUCUCAGAAGGAGAUUCCCUGACUGUGAACUGCACUUAUUCAACCACAGGGUACCCCACUCUUUUCUGGUAUGUGCAAUAUCCUGGAAAAGGUCCACAGCUCCUCCUAAGAGCCACAAAGGCCAACGAGAAGGGAAGCAACAAAGGUUUUGAAGCCACAUACAAUGAAGGAACAACCUCCUUCCACUUGGAGAAAGACUCAGUUCAAGACUCAGACUCUGCUGUGUACUACUGUGCCAUGAGUGACACAGUGACGGGAGCUGCAGGGGGAGCUGAGCACAAACUCUGA